CAAUGAACAGUGCCACGAGCGUUGCGUCCCGCGCGAGCAAAGAAGCAAGCGAGCUAGAGAAAAAAAAAGAAGCGAGCGAGAGAAAAAAAGAAGAAGCGGGCGAGCAGCUGUAGCGAGCGAUACCUAACCCGCGUCUCCCCCACGACCCCCGCCUCCUCUCCUGCCGCCGCCGCGCCCUCCCCACCCGCACGCGUCCCAUCCUCCUCCUCGACCUCCCUCGCUGCCUCUCCUUCUCUUCCUCCUCUCUCUCCUGUGCCGCCGUCCUGCCCCAUCCACCCAUGCUGCACUCCGACGGCGACGAUGACCUGUAAGCGAAGGGCGACGACGCAGAGGAGAGGGAGGUGCGGCAGCAUACGGGAGAGGGUCACCAGCUAGCGUCGGCCUGUGCUGGUGAGGUCGGGCUCCACCGUUCCUGUCCCUCGUCCUCACGCGGCCUCUCUUGGUCACCGGCGCUGCAGUUGCGCGGGGCGUGAGAAUAGCAAGGAGAUGUUGGCCCUCGUCCAGGAACGCGGCGUCCAUGGCCGCUCCUCUCCUCCCGAUUUGCCUCCUCUUCUUUGUGCGCGCCGGCCGCUGCAGCUCCUCGCGCCGCCUCCGUCCAUCCCACCUCUCUUGUUUUCCUCCUCUCUCAGAUCGGGCGCCUUCGCUCGCCGUGGUUCCAGAUCGGGCGGAUUGGAGGAGCAGGGGAGGGCGAGGCCUGGAGCUCCAUCUGCAGCACGCGCUAGACUGGUGCCAUGCUGCAUCUUCUCCUACCUCCGUUCUGGUGCCUCCUCCUACUCGCGUAAACAGCGAGCGGAGGGCGUAAUCACGGAAGUGCCAGAGUUUGGAGGUGGAUGUUACUUCAGGAAGGAAGUUGGUUACAAUUUUCAUUUGUUUGAUGCAGCAGGGACAAACUAAUUUGCAGAAUUUCUUGGUGUUGCGAUCUCUCCCCAUCUUAGCAUUGUCUUUCGUUGAAAGGGGAGGAAAUUUGUGUAUAUCACACCUAUCAGCUGCAUCCCACAAAGAGGAAUUUUGUGUCAGACAUUGCCAUUGGAGAAGCUUUGACAGAUAUGGCCCUUCUUUCAGUAAUAAGGUUUACACAUGUACUGAUGCAAAAGAUUUGAUUCAGAGGAAAUGGAUUGUAAUUUGCACGUGAGGUGGGGCUUUUGAUUGGGCCUUGUGGUGGUUGGAUCCGCUAACAGAUAGGGAGAAGCAUGAUAGAUCGGGCAGAGAUCGCAGGUCGCGGCCAUGGGAGAGCAGGGGAGGCGUGGUUUACGUGAUGGAUAUGUAGUAGGGGAGGGUGAGGAGGACGGGCAUGUGGGAAGGCACAGCAAUGCCGGAGCUAAAGCGGGCGCUUGUGUCACGGUGGUGCUUGCUGGUCAUCGUCCCUAAUCUCCAAGUGCAGAUUGGACGAUGAAGAGACGAGGAAGGAUGUUAGGAAGAGUGAAGAACAAGGCGGACCUUCUCUGGUGGAAGAACAAGAUGAACCCUCUUUUGUGGGUCCUGUUUUUGGCAAAAUAUGUGGGGACUCGAAUGACAAUGAGCAGGUGCCAUUAAUUCCUACAAUGGCCUUUUUCUUCUUCUCAGAAGCCAGAUAAUGUUCAGUUGGAAGAGAUGGAUAUGAGGUGGCGGAAUGGCAAGGCGUCUGGUCAGAUGACCUGUGUCUGUGGUCAGUUGGUGGAUCUCGACUACAGGAACAUCACCGAUGCAAUCCAUAGUAGAUUGGUAAAUUGCUCACACAACAUGUUUAGAAUUGGAAAAUAUUAAUUUUGUUCUUCUGUUUUAUUUUUUCUGACUAAAAGUAGCAGUUUUGCUUCUGUAUUAAGAUUUCAACAAGAAUUUAUAAAGGCCUCUAAGGAAGCAGAGGAAAGAAAGAAAACGCCUGAUAGUGCAAAGUGCACUUUGGCAGUAAGGUCAACAUGUGACUACUAAUGAAACACCUCCAUCAGGAGGCCAAGAACAGUUUCUAUUAUGCUGACUUAAUGUAUAUCCAGUUUAGAACAAUUUAUCUGACAUUUAUUUUAUGAUUGUGCCUGCAAGUUGAAAUUUUAAUUAAUUUAACAAAUGACAGGAGAAAGUGAUGCGUGUUAGCCGUGAACUUAAUGGGUCGCUUGUUCCUUGCAGAUGAAUCCAUUCUGAUGAGCUUUGUAAAUAUUAGGUAAAUGUCGUGAAACUUAAGAUAAUCUCUCAAGCAUAUAAUUUAGGCAUUUCACUCCUAAGUGUAAUGAUAUAUGACACUGAACCAUUCGAUUGAAUAUCUUCUCAGUGUUUCCAAAAUAGCCUAAUUAUUAUAACAUGGUGGAAGAGUGGUAAUAAGCUAUUAAAUGACACACAUCGGGAAUAAACUGAGCAUUUACUUAAUUUGGUCGUAAAUAUGAGCUUGGGUUUUUCAGGUUGCAUCUUGUACAAAUCAAAUUAUAUUUGGUGCUAAAUUUACUGGAUUUGAAAUUGUAGUGAUGGUGAUCUACUAUUUAGAUGGGUGUACUUCAGUGCUCCUAUUUCUCACAUGUCUUACAAGUUAUUGCUGCAAUAUGUGGAAUAUAGAGCGGUACUGGUAAUCUGUGAUGUGACUGGUGCAAACUAAAAAACUCACUGCAAUACAAGUAUUCUUUUUUAAUUGUCUGAUGGGAAAAUAGGUAAAUAGCUUGUGAGCAGACAUGGAUACACCGAGCCAAAUUAUUUAUGCUAGAUAGGUUUGUGUAUUUUUUUAUAAUAGUUUAAUUCAAGCUUUGCCUGUUGUACUUUGUUUUACCUGUUAUACUUUGGUUAGCAGAUAAAAUUUGAUGUUGUCCCCUUGAGAUUAAAUGGAUGCGUCACACUAUCAUAUGAAAUGCGUGUUACAUCAAACAAAAUCCAUGAUCGAGCUACCUUGGACCCUACUGCUUCAAGCACUAUCUAAGAAAGGCAUAUGAUCCAGACUCAGAUUCAAGCUGCAUUGAGGGUUAUGCUUGAGACAUGGAUGAUGGCUACAACCACUAUGUGCGACCGUAGGCUACGGCGGAGACAGGCCCCAGGCAGCCUGAGCCGAUGCCUGGGGCAUGAGGCUGAUUCCCUUCGUACACUGUAGAGAACACUGUAGCUACAGUGUUGCAGUGCUUCCUAGGCCGGCCGGGGGCGUGGCUGAAUCCUGGCGCCGCCACUGACCAUAGGCAUGCCUGCUUCGACGAUGAAAUUAUGUUCAAUACUGCUGGGACAUGUAACGAUGACUCAACUUAAUACCACCACCUUCUCGCGUCUUGGUCCUUGUUGCGAGCAAGACAAUGCAUCUCUGGCCUUUGCUAAUAUAGCUUACUUUUAUAAAGCCAAUGUAUGCCAUUAUCAAGUGAUAUGAAUAUCUUCUUUUAAGCUACCAAGUGCCAUGUAAUGGAACAUAAACAUCUAUUAAGUUAGUUCUAAAUCAAUCUCAUAUGCAUUGUUUGAAUA